GGGAUAAAAGGGGGCGCAUACAAAGCAGCAUAAACCUGUGGCUGGGAGCAGCUGGAGACCGGGGACCGCUGAUUAAUUCAGCUCUGCGCAGUCAAAGGAGCCACUGUUCCCAUUAAUGUCCUCAAUUCGUUUUCUUUGUCCCGGGACCUCUGUGUGGACCGGACUCCCUGUCGGCGAGCAGCUGUUGUCGGCACUCCCACAUCUGCUUGUCUCGUCUGCAGCAUGGAGAGGAAAGGACGCUGCGCUCGCGGAUCCUGUGCAGCUACUGGGCCCGAGGAGCGACCAGAUCUUUUUUUUUUUUAAACUGCAACCAUAAUCAAUGUUCUGCACACGAAGGGUGAUCGCAUGCUGAGCGGCAUACCAUCCACGGAGGAGGAAAAAAUGGAGAAGAAAAGACCAUGAAACAGCGAUCUUUUCUGGUGAUGCUGCGGGACAGGUGCGUGCGGAACCUGGAGACCUACUGGAUGACAUGAGACCAAUCUGGAUGCGGGAUGACACCAGCCGACGCCUCGAGGAUCAGCUGUACAGGUUAUGUAUACACAAUGGAUUAUGUUUGUUCAUUUUUUCCCCCAUUGGAGAGAAUACUGUCAGUUAAGCCUUUUCUGGCCUAACUUUUACCUAACAAUUUAAGCUUUCACUUGUGUCAAAAAUAGUUGCUAGAAACAAUAAUGUGCAGGGUGGACUAUCCUGAUCCUUUUGUGUGUAGUGGGAGGACAGCUGUGUUGCGUAUCACUUUCCUGCUGCUUUGUGUUACGUGUUUUUCUCCAGUUACACUGAUGACAAAGCUGAGAAGGGCUCGACAGGACUUAAAUGUACCCCUCGUGCCAUUGCUCCAUCACCCUCUGCCAUGUUGCCUCGCAAGACUGGUACUGGAUCUAUCAAAACCACUGUUGACUGAUUCAUGGCGCCGUUUCUGCGUUCCUGCACCUCCAGGGGGAGAAAGUCCAUGUUACACUGUUUCCUCAUCAAGAGACAGCUUCUGCAGCAUUUGUGUAUCAGUGAACAGAGAUAACAUUGCAACUUUGUACGUUUGUUAGUAUCUGGCUGAUCAGUUUUUAUCAGGAAGGCAAUUUGUGAGUUCUAAGACAUCCCCUCCUGUUUCUCUUUCUGUCUCCUACGGUUUUAUCCCCCCUGUUUCUCUUUUGAUGAUCAGACACACUGUCUGCUGCCCUUUUUUAUGCUGUUGCUGAGUUAUUUUCGUUUAAUAUAAGCUUAUCUAGACGUGGAACAUCACCAGUUCCCGUUUUCUCUAUCACUGCCAGAUUUAGAUUCUGAAAGCUGUUAUAUUUUCAGUCCUUAAGGACAAGAAUAUGAUAAGCUGGAGUGAUUUAGAAUGACCCAUUUUUCUCACCCUCUAAUUAUGUGUUAUUCACACAUUUUUGUUUGUUGUGAAAACUCUUAACUUCAGUGUGAUGCAAAUUAUUUUCACUGUACUACUCACGACACGUGUAGUGUGUGUGUGUCUGUGCGUGACGCGUGUGGGUGUCUGUGGGAGUGCAUGUGUUUCUUUGCAUGUGCUCAAUUUUGUGUAUGUGUUUGAAUUAGUAUGUGUGCAUGUGUGCCACGUCGGUUUGAUGACAUGUAAUGAGUCCGAAGCUGAAGCCAGAACUGUUUUAGUCUCUGGAUGUACCAGAUAAGGGAUAAAACAUUAUUUACUAAUGAUUUUAAGCAUUUGCUCCAACCUUGCAGAACAGCACCUACACUUGUGUGUAGAUAACAAGGACGACAUCAGAAAUUAGUGGUGCUCAGUUUUCUAAAUGAUGCCUGCUGGCAUAAAUUAAACUGUCCUGAUGCCAGCAGCUCCAUCAUUUACCACUUAGGCAAAUUACCGCAAAUGCUAAAAAUGAUGUGUAAAUGGCUUUUACCCUAGUCUGGUUUGUACUAACAGGAUCUGACUAAUAUCUAACAGUACUAAUGUCUGCUAACAGUUGGAGGAUUACUAACCUGUGUUGCGAAUGCUGACAGCUUGCAUUUCUAACCCACUAACUAACCCUCUGCUUUCUGCCCGCAGUCCGAGGCUCACACUCCUCUCGCAUGAUCCUGCAACCUUUCUUUCAGAAAUUUCCAAUUCAUCUUAACGAUUCAAGAACUUCUGCAUAAAAAUGUAAAAGAAAAACAUAGAGGUUACAGCAUGCAUGUGAAGAAGGGUUUCAGGACCUGGGAAGGGAAAAGUUAUUAACCACAGGAUAGAAAGAGGAACGGCAUCAGCUGCUGAUUUCAGACUGGGUUGACCACAUACUGAAGAAGAAUCUAAACAAAACGUACAAUUAAUAUUCAAAAUAAAGAAUCUAAUUAAAUUUGGAGGCCAAAUUCUCGUGUUUUACAGAUCAAUUUCUCAUCUCAGAGUGUUUUGUGUGGUCAACCUUUGCAGGUGAGAGCCUGGCUUGUUGUCACCACAGGUAGUAGGCUGACAGUAAGACAAAAGCCACGCAAGUCUCAGCUCCAGUACUAACCUGUUAUGGUGUUAAUGCCGACAAUGGUGAGGCUGUGACGGUCCACCUGUUCUACUUACUAACACCUCACAGUUGUUCGAUCAGCUUUAGAGACAGUAAAUCAACGCAUGCCUUUUUGUAAACAGUGAUGCUCAUUAAAAAACAUCACAUGGAGGCUUUCUGACGGCAUCGCAAGCGCGUGCAUUUUAGAACUUCGUCAGUCCUAUGGAGGAAAAGUUUUGCCUGUUGAAAACUAUGUUAACAGUUACUAACCCGGGGAUCUUAUACUUGCUUUCUGCAAACUAACAUACUAACAUACUAAUAAACUAACCAGAACAAACUACAAUCACUAACUUUGCUUAUUGAGGAAGUCAGUGAACCAGCCUGAAACUGAAGAGCUACGUCACGUUUUUAAGGUCUGUGAUGCUUGAAUGGGUGUUUAAAACAAGUGUGUGUGUGUGUGUGUGUGUGUGUGUGUGUGUGUGUGUGUGUGUGUGUGUGUGUGUGUGUGUGUGUGUGUGUGUGUGAGAGAGAUAAUGUGUUUGUGAAAGAUGUGUAUUUGUGUGAAAAUUGAAAAAAAGACUUUUAAAUGAACAAGCCGUCACUUAGUUUUGCUUGAAAAAGCAAUAAUUUAACAAAACCAGGUAGAUUUUAAUGUUAAAUCUCAAAAAUGAAGAUACAAUCCCAGUUGCUUUUAAUUAAAGAUUUCUUUGGGGUUAUAAUUGAUCUGAGUAGCUGAGAAUCUGUACUGCUGGGAAUUAACACUGUGCUGAUCCAAAAUGUGAGAAAUGUCAAUUCAUGCAUUUAAUUGUGUAUUUAUCCGUCAUCCCAACACUACCAUUGUCUUUGAAUUGUACUCAUACAGAAAUAAAGCCUAUU